UUUGAACGCUGGCGGCAGGCUUAACACAUGCAAGUCGAGCGGGGUGAUGGUGCUUGCACUAUCACUUAGCGGCGGACGGGUGAGUAAUGCUUAGGAAUCUGCCUAUUAGUGGGGGACAACAUCUCGAAAGGGAUGCUAAUACCGCAUACGUCCUACGGGAGAAAGCAGGGGAUCACUUGUGACCUUGCGCUAAUAGAUGAGCCUAAGUCGGAUUAGCUAGUUGGUGGGGUAAAGGCCUACCAAGGCGACGAUCUGUAGCGGGUCUGAGAGGAUGAUCCGCCACACUGGGACUGAGACACGGCCCAGACUCCUACGGGAGGCAGCAGAGGGGAAUAUUGGACAAUGGGGGGAACCCUGAUCCAGCCAUGCCGCGUGUGUGAAGAAGGCCUUAUGGUUGUAAAGCACUUUAAGCGAGGAGGAGGCUCUUUUGGUUAAUACCCAAGAUGAGUGGACGUUACUCGCAGAAUAAGCACCGGCUAACUCUGUGCCAGCAGCCGCGGUAA
rnacentral:rRNA from 1 species